CAGAUGUGGAGCAACAAAAUAACUGUGAACAUUUAUGCAUUCCUCUUCAAUGUUCCAAGGACUAUGUCUAUGCUUCAUUAGAAUCAAAUUAAAAGCCUCCUUGGGGAAGCCUCAAUAAAAAGUUAAAUCAAGAAAGAAAGAACUCACCUUCAGUAACUUUAUAACCAUUGCAAUUUGAUUUCCAAAGUCAUCUGUGAAUCGGUGCUGCCAUAUGCAGACUUAAGGAUGCAUCUCCUUUUGUAAGUUGCAGAUUCGAUUCCCAAUCAACAGUUCUGUUGCUCAUUGGCUAAAAAUCAGCUUAAUAAGAGCAAGCCAUCUGAUUAGCUGAUGAUAAUUCAGGCACCCUUCAGUACAUCUCCAAUCUAGCAGGAGAUCUUGCCUGAUAUUAAAAAGCUAUAAUGCAUUUUUCCCAACAAAAUUCAUCAAUUCUGUCUUUGCAGCUUCCAUAACCACUUGGAAGUCUAUCUGCGUGUACCUUCCCCAGAAAUGAGUCUUAGACCAAGUUGUAGAUGGGUAGGCUGGGCUAGGAAUGCCAUGCAUUAUUCUUGCGACGGCUCGAGGGGUAAAUUUGGCCUGUGAGUUACUCUGCAGAAAAACCUUUAUAUCUGCUCGCAAAAAUGGGCUGCUUUGACGCAUCUGAUUUGAGAUGUCAUAUUGGCCAUCUUCCCUAAAGUAAUCCAAAAUCUUUCUUUGCAAGCAAGGUGUAUGCUGGGAGUCAUUGCAACCUUGCAUCUUCUCACACUCAUUCACAGCAGAGACUGCAGCAUUAAACAUUGCAUCCAAUUUUUGCACCUUUAAACGUUCAACCUCCGAUAACCAUCUUGUAAGAUGAGCUGAGAGGAAGCAAAAAUCCUCAGGUACCUUCACUAUUGAGUAGCAAUAGGCUGGAUUGUUAACCUCGUAUGUUAUUUCUCCCUUCAACUUUAGACUCUGUAAGUGAUUUGAUAGGUCAAUAGUUGUAAAUCCAAUGCUAUUCGCUACAGUAGGUACGUCGAACACGUGUUGCCCUUGUUUUGUUUCUGACUUUUUAAGAAUUGCUGAAACUACGAUAUCCUUGUCAGCCAACAGCACCGGAGUAGUCUUAUAGAAAUUCAAAGUGCAAGUUACAUUUAGCUCUGGAAGUAGAUGCAAGUAUUGCACUUCACCCAACUCCAACUGUGUUAAAAGUGUGAGCAUAACCUCUUCUUUCAUAUCAAAUUCGCGGGAAGCAGAUUCUCUGAUUAUUGAACAAAUUUUCCCCUGCUUGCCAUUGGAGAAGACAUAACUGAGGAACUUGCUUACAGCAUAUUCAUCUACACCUUCACUGUGCAAUAGACUCCGAAGCUUGCAGUAAGUCGUAUCAUCAAAAAAGAGAUGGCAGUAAGACAACCUUCCAUCCCGUCCAGCACGUCCAAUCUCCUGAACAUACUCUUCCAAGCUUUCUGGCAGACUAUAAUGAAUUACAGCUCCAACAUCCCUCUUGUCAAGCCCCAUUCCAAAUGCCACGGUUGCGACAACCACUCUAAUUUUGUUAGAACAGAAUAACUCUUGUAUUUGGCUACGAUCCUUAGAGGGGAUAGCGCUGUGGUAGCUCUUUGACGAGAUAUUGUUAUCACAUAAGUAUCUGCUUACUAUAUCAGAUUCAGACUGGAAUUUGCAGUAUAUAAUGAUGCUUUGGACUUCCAUGAAGGGAGAAGAUUUCAUCAAACUCAGCAAAUCUUUCAUUCUAUUUCCACUCAGCGACACUGAUAAUUGUAGAUUGUCCCUCAUGUG
rnacentral:misc_RNA from 1 species